rnacentral:rRNA from 1 species
AGAGUUUGAUCAUGGCUCAGAACGAACGCUGGCGGCGUGGAUAAGACAUGCAAGUCGAGCGAGAUUUUUUCUUGUAGCAAUACAGGGAAAAGUCUAGCGGCGAACGGGUGCUUAACACGUGGGCAACCUGCCAAGAAGUGGGGGAUAGCUCGCCGAAAGGCGAAUUAAUACCGCAUGUGAUCAGAGUGGACAUCCAUUCGAAAUCAAAGUCGGGGCAACCUGACGCUUCUUGAGGGGCCCGCGGCCUAUCAGCUAGUUGGUGAGGUAACGGCCCACCAAGGCUUAGACGGGUAGCUGGUCUGAGAGGACGACCAGCCACACUGGGACUGAGACACGGCCCAGACACCUACGGGUGGCAGCAGUCGAGAAUUUUUCUCAAUGGGGGAAACCCUGAAGGAGCGACGCCGCGUGGAGGAUGAAUGUCUUCGGAUUGUAAACUCCUGUCAUUGGGGAACAAUGCGCAAAUAUUAACUGUAUUUGCGUUGAUAGUACUCGAAGAGGAAGAGACGGCUAACUCUGUGCCAGCAGCCGCGGUAAUACAGAGGUCUCAAGCGUUGUUCGGAUUCAUUGGGCGUAAAGGGUGCGUAGGCGGCGCGGUUAGUCGGGUGUGAAAUCUCGGAGCUUAACUCCGAAACUGCAUUCGAUACUGCCGUGCUUGAGGACUGGAGAGGAGACUGGAAUUUACGGUGUAGCGGUGAAAUGCGUAGAUAUCGUAAGGAAGACCAGUGGCGAAGGCGGGUCUCUGGACAGUUCCUGACGCUGAGGCACGAAGGCCAGGGGAGCAAACGGGAUUAGAUACCCUAGUAGUCC